GAGAGACCGUGCCCAGAGCUCUGCGUGGAUGAAGGAAGCAGGAGGGCCGGUGGUGGACGGGUCCUGAUGGCACUGCAGCCCUGCUCAGAUGAAAAAACCCUGAGCCUACACUCGGCCUUGCCAGUCGCUGUUUCCUGUCACUUGCGAUGGCCUCUUCCCAGGACGGAUAUUUCUGAUGAUGUCAGUGAAGUUACCUGUGUGCAACUGUGGAGUAAUCCAUUGCAGGCAGCUGUGGAGCUCUCUGUGGAAAAAUAAAGAGUGAAAAAUGAAUUCCACACUUGUGAAGAAGAGAAAAAUUUAGAUUCCGAAGAAUUCAUUCCUCAGCACAGCAGCAAACGGAGCCCACGUGUGUGCACUGCAAGCUCCAAUUUCUGUGGCUCCUGCAAGAAUCUCGCACUGGUUAUCAGCUUCUCAACGCUGUCAUUUUUAAUGUCAUGGGGAAGCAUUCAUGUCAAGAGAUUCUUAUUGUGGAAAAUAGUUUUCUUGUUGUUAUCUUGCAGUCUAAAUAGGUUAGAGGGCUGACAAAGAACGCUGUGAACACAAUGCUGGUGAGCAGUGAAGGACGUCACAGAGAGCGACCUGUCUGCAGCACGAUGGUGCAUCUGUAGUGGCUGGAAACUGAACCCACACUGCAGCACUGUUUGAAUGGCCAAAGUCACACCAGGAGAGUUAAGCUGGGCUACCACUGUGAAGGCAGGGGCAGCAGUGCUGGAUUACGGAUCACAAAACGCAGAGAGUCGAGAGAGUUUGUAAAGGUGCCCCAUUGGUGGAUGGCGUUGUCUCCUGCUUCGGAAUCUGCUGCUGAGUGACGAGCUGCUCAAUGAAGCUGGCAUCUCCCUGGGAGAUGGUACCUGGCCCUCUCUGCUUGGGUGGCUCCAUUUAAAAGUUGGCAGAAUACCCAGAACAGCAUCAGAAUUAAUUUAGUACAAAAUUAGUUGACUUAAAGUAAACAGAAUAAAAUAAAAUAAAUCCUAUGGUAUUAAAGGCCUCUUGGCUGGACUGCUGCAUGCCUAACACAGAUUUAUGGCCUGCUGUUGCUAGAACUUUGAAAAGACUGUGCAGUGCACAAGAACCCUGCAAGGCCUGCUCCAGGGAGCGCCCAGCAGCGCAGGCGUGGGGAGGUCUGGAGGUGCUCCAUGAUAAGAUGCUGGAGGGGAAGAUGCCAUGGGAGAGCAAGAAGGGGCUCAGUGGGAACGGGAGGCAAGACAAAGGCAAGGAGGUGCUGAUCCAGCGUGCCACCAAAAUCCAAGCCACUCCGAGGGCAUCACAUCCUGAUGUGUCUGCUGAGCACGUUGAGCCAGUCUGCACACGCGAGGCCAAAGCACAAUCCCUCUCAUGGUAAAUGGCAACGUCAGCUGCUUCGCUCUCUUACUGGUGUUUAAAAUUUUUGCAGCAAAUAACAGAAAAUUUGAAAGGACAUCAGAAAUGGAUUUACAGGGCUCCAGGGAAAUCAAAUGUUUCCUGUUCCAACAGCUUCUUUAUCAUAACUUGCUUUCUCAGUCUCUGAAUGAUGUUCUAUUAAUCCUGGUGUGCAGUGAUUACUAUUAAAUGCAGAGCUGGGUUGAACCUCAAAUUGUGAAAUAACCUUUUCUCUGUUUUCUCUAAGUCCAGCAUGGUAAAUUUUGGAUAGAGGUCUACUGACCAAGUGGAUAAUUGCGUUCCAAUGCAUCCUGUGAAUAAUGCAGAUAAAAAACCUUCAGUGAAUAAUUCAUUUUGCCUCCAAUCAGUUUGAAUUAGUCCAUUCAUGUAUGUAUCCUUUCCAGUCUGCCUGUCUCUGAGCAUGCAUGUAUUUACAUAGCAAUGUUGUAAUUCUCAGGUACUUAAAUAUCAGAUAGCUGUUACUUUGUGCAUAUGUUCCUGACUACUCUGUGCAGUUGCAUAUGUAAAAGUCAGCAUUAUAUAUUUUAUUGUAUGAAACAUGACACAUCAUAUUCGCUGCUGUGUUGGCUAAGAUUUAAUACUAAAAAGCCUUCAAAUGCAGGCAGAUCUUUUUGGCCUGCCAAUGGAUUACAGAAUAAAUCUUGUGGGCUCUUCUGUGUUCAGAUGCAAGUUUUCAGCAGUGGUGUAUGUUGCCAGAGGUACCUUACUUUUACCCUGCCAGCAGCUAAUGGGUCCUUCUAGGUCAAGCACAGCCUCUGAGCAGGAGGAAGCACUUGGUUUUGGAGGUGGUGUUCCUGGAGGGGUGUGGAUAGCGCUGAAAUUGCCUGUGCAUCACUGAUACCUGCAGCUCAGGAGCCUUCAUCUGAAAAGCAGAGGGAAGGAGCUGAUUUCCUGAUGGAAUGGCCGAGGCCUGGGGAUGCUCCCAAUGGAAUGGGCUAUGCGUCCUCCUGCCUCAGACAGACAACAAGGUGUGAGCACACAGCUCCUAAUGGGGGCUGGCAGACGGUUUAUCUUUGCCUGAGAGGUCCUGCUCUGCUGAGAGAGGCGGAUGCUCAUUUUUAUUCCUUGUUGUGGGCUUUUCAGUUUCCAGUCCAUUACAGGUGACACAGCUGAUAAGGAGCCUGUCUGUUAGCACUGUCCCUGGAGGGGCGAAUCUUCAUCCCUCCCUGCACUCAAACCACAGCUGCCUGCACGUAGUUUUUGAGAUCACGCUGGGCACCAAGCGAGGGCUUCUGUGCUGGAAGCCCUGCCAGGCCCUGUGCCACACAGCCCUCUUGGCUCUGAGUGGGCCAUGGCAGCUCCAGGGCAAACCUCUUCUCCACUGGCGAUGUCAGUGCGUAAAUGAAUGCUCUGUCAUUUUCUGAUUGAGUCAGAAGCAAAAAUUGUACAGCUGCUCUGCAAACAGCUCCAACGCACUGCUUGGCAAAGAGGUGCCCAGCAGACAGCUUUGUUGCAGAGCCAUCACCCGUGGAAAAGAGCAGCAGACAAAACUCGUGUCUGAUAUUCAAAAAAUUAUUUUCCUAGGGUUGAUCCCUAUCUUCCAGCAACACCACAGGAAAAGUUAUGUGGCAGAUUGACUUGAAAUAGUUCCUACUUGGAGCGAGCAGCCUUCUCAUUUCACAGAAAUCUUUAUUUAUAAUUCAGGGAUUGGAGAAACUGAAGCAACAUUUCUACAGGAUGGUGCAUUGCUCCACUAUUUGUCCGACAGACCUGUGCUGAGCACUCUGCGUGGUUUUGAUAUAAAGCCAAGAAUGGGUUGUAGAAAAAUGUGUAUCACUAAAAGUUAGGUCCCCAAAGUCGAAAGUAAAACAAACAGCGAGAGAUCAUUAUCUGAAGCAGACCUUUCCUAGCUGUGUAGAGACAAAAGUCAUUGCUAUGUUUUGUUUUUCUUUUUUUUUUCCUUUAGACCAAGUAGUAUUGCUGUCUGUAUUUGGGAAUGUCUUGGUUUGUACAGUUGGGCAGGCGGUGCAUUUAUUCUGCUUGUGCCUUUUCUCUUCUCUUUGAAAGCCUAUCGCUGGCUCAGGGUGGACUCUUUGUGUGGCCUUCAGAGAGUCACUUAACCUUCCUGUGCAUCAGUUUACUCAUUUGUAAAAGGAGUAUUAUAAUAAUAGGCACCCCUUAGGGGCUCUUCCAGAUUUAAAUAAUUAAUGCUGGUAAAGCGGUUUGUGAGCCUCAGAUUAAAGGUGCUAAAUAAAGGCAAUAUAUAAAUAUAUUUUACUCCAACUCUUUAUAGAAAGAGCAAAGCCAUAGCCCGAUAACUCCUGGAUUUAUAGCUGGGAGUUAAUGUUAGCGUGCUCAGAGGAAAUUUUAAUUUCUGUGGUUCUGAUUCAGCAGAGCUCUUAAUUCCAUCCUUAAUUUUAGAAAGGCCCAUUAAUUUCCAGAGGCAUGGCUCCCAGCCUGGAGUGCUUUGUUGCAUUCGUUCCUUUAAGAGCAGUGCUGGACAAGAAGGAUCAGCUGUGCAUGUAUGUGCAUACGUGUGCCAUGUGUGCUCAUGACCUCAGCAAGAGCAUCGCUGCAACCAGAAUACAAUCAGCAAGCCUCUUCAAGGUAGCAAAAUUCAUCCAGGAUGUAAAUCAAUAAAUGUAACGGGAGAGAAACUACAAGCUGUGCAUUUCCACGGAGGCUGGGGUUUGUGGGAGGGAUAGAGGCUGCUGAGCAUGACCUAAUGCCACAGGAACAAAAAGCAACCACAGACCUCAGCAUCUAAACAGUCUGAAUAUUGAACCAGAGGUCUUUGAGUAAUUGUCCUUUCUUCACUCUGGGGGUGAAAAGGGUACAUUAGACAUUCACUAGCUGCAAAUGGCACCUGACAUCUCUUUAAGUGAAAGUCAGCUCGGAAUUUUUUUUAAUGGCCAAGCAUAAAUCUUUUAAAUUAUAAAUCAAUAAAUAGUUAAUUCAAUAAUAGGAAUCUUUUAAAUAUUUAAUGAGUCAUAUGCAGAAUGGCUCUAUAACUGGAUGUUGAUGGAACUGUGUCAAAGGAAUUUGAAUCAAACUUUUCUAAACUCCCCAUAUUAAAAUAGUUAUUGAUUCAAACAUAAACUAUGAAGACUGCUGGAAAAGGACGGGGGGGGCGGGGGCUCAGCAUAAAUUUUCUCACCCGAGAAAAUGUAGAAUUAGCAGCUUAUUUUGAGUCACGUAUUCUUGAGCCUUUCAGGUAGUUUUAGUGUUCCCAGAACAAAACCGAGUAUGAACCUAUGCAGACAGCACACUGUGUGUGUGCAUAUUCAUUGAAAUUUUGUUUUAGUGGCACCUAUGCCCUUAAAGAAAAGCAGUGGCCAUCUGCCUUUCGUUAAAGGACUCUGCUAACCAGCACUGACAUCGAUAUCCUGAACUGUCUCUGUCUGAAACUGCCCCAAAGUUUUAAUUUCUUUACUAGAAUUUGCAUGUGGAAGACAGUGGAAAUUGUACCUACAGAUGCUAGACCUCAAUUAGCUUCUUUCCUUUUUUUUUUUAGGGGAGAUCUGCAGUCAGUGUUUACUGCUAUUAGAUUUGUGCUGUGCUAAGUCAACAGUUGUAUUUCUAAGUUCCCUAAACUGGAGGAAUCUCAUGCUUAAUCCUGCAGACUGUUAUUGCAUAGCAGAUACUUCAUCUUCACGUAUUUUGGCGUCCAACCUUUACUUCCAAAGCAAUAGUCUAGCUCUUGUGCUUCUCUCUUCAGCUGGUGAUGUGCUUCUGCAGUGUUGGUGUUGGUGCUCGUGGCAGUCUUGGUUUGUGAAUCGCUGAGUAGUCAGUAUUGUUCUCUUCAGAUAAAAGGGUGGAAGGGGCAAUACUGGGAGCAGGAUGCCUCCUGAAGUCGUGCAGGGUGGUGUCAGGAACUUUGUCUCACUACACCUUACUGCACCCAUUUCACAGAUGGCUAAAAAAUGGUUGUGUCCUGAGAAGGCAAAACUCUACUGUGCAGAUUUCAUCUCGCUGCCUUUGAGGGGUCACCAACAAAAUCAUGCACUACCUGGGGCAGGCCCUGCUGUUGGCUCUGUGCAUGCACCAGGAGUCAGUUUGGUUGGUUCAGUAUUUGUAGCAGUUCGGAGUUUCAUUUGUAUUCUGCACACCUCUGCUCUCCCCUCUCUGUGUAUGUACAUCCAGUGAGGCUGCCUGCAUAUCCUUGUGGUUGUUCUUUUUUUUCCCCAGGAUGACAGAUACUGUAAUAAUGACAGUAGAUUAAUAUCUCCUUAAUCAGCCAAAUGAACAUGACAUACAAGGGUGACAGUUCAAUUUGCUGCUAACAGAUUGUGCCUAUCAGAGCCCUUCCAUUCCAACUGAUGUUUAUUUCUGGCAGAGAUCAUAUGGUUCUGGGAGAACCUCGGCUCCCACCAGCUCAUAGACACCCAUUAAAUACAUCGAGUACCACAUAGGUGUUACUCACCCGCCUGUCAGGACACUGCCUGCUUGGGAAAUUAAAUGAGCCUUGACACGUGCAAUGGAGAGGCACUGUCACUUAGCUGGGCGAAGCGGCAACAUGUAUUAUUGACUAUGUGCUGCUGCAGGUCCCUCUCUUUAUUGCUUGUUAUUUUUUGUUUGAUGUGCACUGUUGGCUGCUGAAACACGGAUCGGACACCAAGUCUGUCUCCUGGGGAGACGCAUAACGAAACGUAAUGGGGAGGAAGUGCAGACGGGGCAUUAGUUUGGGUAGAAGUGGUCCAUUACAGAACUGGCGGUGCUCAGAGUUUGUUUGCAGGUGGGAUUUCAGGAGGAUCUGGUUUCUAAUUCUGAAAUGCAAUCUGCAGGCUCUAAUUCAAAUCUUUCUUUUCCUGCUUCCGGCGGCACUUCAGACAGAGUCGCCCCAGAUACUGCACAAAGGGCCCUGAGUCCUCCCAAGGGCUGGUGCUGCUCCCUACCCACCCGGGGUCCCUCCUCAGCCCUGCAGACCCGUAACACAACACCCAAGCCUAGAUGGGCACCGCCAUGGUGGGACUGAAAGGAAGCCUGGACUUUGUGGGCUGCGUUUCGGUGCCUGCGGUGUCGGUGUUUGCAGCCCCGGCUCUGGCUGAGGACCGAGGUGGCGCACUGCGUGCUGAAGGCCUGGCUUUGCUGCUGAUGUGUGAAUCUGUCUUCUGCACUUACAGGUCUGAUCCCGCAGCCCUUGCUGCUCCCUAUGGGACUGUAAUUGAUCAGGAGAGUUUUCACUUGCUGGAUGAACCCCAGUUAUUUAUUUUCAUAGCGACUCAGGCCAGCCAUCUGCCUGCUUUUGUUUAGACACCCUCGCAGUGCCCUUCCCGUGUGCACGAAGCUGCUUAAUUUUGCUGAGUCCCACCCAAAGACAUAAAUCAUAUUUGUAGAUCUCUGCAGCCCUCGUGCACGGACAGGGACGGCUGCAGAGCUGAGCAGCAGGCUCAUUUCAUCGCCCUCUGCUUUUGGGAUAGAACUUUUUGCACAACUCCCUGCAAUUCCCUUCAGAGAAGACAUGAGCUGUGUUUAUUUUUGAAAGAUAAAAUGCAAGUAGUUUCAGUAAGAAAGGUUCCAAGACAAAAUUAACAAUAAAUUACCCAAACAAUGACAUUAAAAGAUAUCCACAUGAUUGUAAUUAUGGAGAUAAAUCCUUCCAAAGGAGGGUGCUGUCAUUUUCCAUACUUGUUACGAUUGCUGUCAUACAAAUGUGUUCAUUAUUUUUAUCAUUUUUUUCUUCUUAUUACAGGAUUUGUCAUAAGAAUAACUCAUCAGGGUUUUAUGACUAAUAAAUUCUCUAAAUUACAGUCCAAGGAUGCAUUACUUUAUUUUUUUUUCCCCUCCAUAUUCUGUAUUUUAAUUGCCUAGCUAUUUCCCACUGCCUUUUUUAAUGACUCAUUAGGCUUAGGGGGAAAGAACAGAAUUUAGUCCACCUAAGAUUUUGCAUUCAGUUCUGUGCGCCUCAGAGGGGAAUUGAUAUAUGACAGGGAGUAAAAAUGUGACGUGUCUGGGGAGAAGACUUUGGGUUUUAGGUAUGAAAGAUCCUCAAAACCAAGCAAAAUAGAAACACUGAAGGAAGCCCCAGCCCAGGGAUCGAUUACUGAAGUUAUUUGAACAAUUAUUUGUGAUAAGAGAUGCAUUUAAAAUGUGCAUGAUUUUGUAAGGUAUAAAUAGGGACGUAACCUUGACGUGU